rnacentral:rRNA from 1 species
UACGUAGGGGGCGAGCGUUAUCCGGAUUUACUGGGCGUAAAGCGCGUUAAGGCGGUUGGCAAAGUUGGUUGUGAAAUCUCAGGGCUCAACCCUGAAAUUGCGACCAAUACUGGUCGACUAGAGUGUGAGAGAGGAAGGUGGAAUUCCCGGUGUAAUAGUGAAAUGCGUAGAUAUCGGGAGGAACACCAGUGGCGAAGGCGGCCUUCUGGCUCAUAACUGACGCUGUAGCGCGAAAGCGUGGGGAGCGAACCGG